rnacentral:lncRNA from 1 species
CUUCUAGAUUUUGCAUCUCCUAAUGCUUUUAUGAUAAUGUUUGAUUGUUUUGGGGGGAUUGUAUUAGAAGGUAUGGAUAGACCUUAUAUUUCUUACCCAUCUAUCCUAAGAUGGGUAAAAAACUACAUUUACAUUGGUUAUUCUCCUUCCCCCAUUAAUUUGAUGUUUUAAAGUUUACUUAUUUAUUUUUGAGAUAGAGAAUGAGCAUGAGUAGGGAAGGGCAGAGAGAGAGGGGGACAGAGGAUCUGAAUCAGGCUCUGUGCUGACAGCAGACAGCCCGACAUGGGGUUAGAACUCACGAACUGUGAGAUCGUGACCUGAACCACAGUUGGAUACUUACAACCCAUUGAGCCACCCAGGUGCCCCACCCCUGACUAAUUGGAAGUAAUUUCCCAUAUAUAUACACAAAACACACACACACACAGACACAUACAUACACGGGAGAUAUUUAGUACAUUAUUGUGAUUAGCUGUUUUCAUUGACUUUUUUUGUGCUAAUCACACACUAUUUCAUAUAGCUUUACUUAAACCAUUUUUUAAAAAAAUUAUUGUUAAUUAUUUUUGGACACUUUCUGUUCCACAGAAACCCAGAGCAUUACCUUGUCUGUUCCAUGAAAGAAACCGUGGGUGUUUUACUUGAGAUGGCACCAAAUUUGUAGAUUAAUUUGAGAAGAAUUGACAUUUUUAUCACGUCGAUGCUUCUUGUCCAGCAAUGCGGUAUGUCCCCAUUUAUCCAAAUCUUCUUUUAUGCUCUUCAGUAAAGUUUUAUGAUUUUAUUUAUAUAGGUCUUAAGGCAAAAGUCUUUUGUUUGACGGGAACAAUCUUACAGUUUCCCACUUCCUGACUUAAGUUAAGGGUGUAUAAAUAGACCCAUCUUCUCUGCUGAAAAUAUCUAGACUGAUUUUGAGAAGUUUGUGUACCUCAGAUCAUUAGGAUGUGUCUUCUCUUUCUAGAAGGUUUGCCAUUUGUUCCAGGCAGGAGGAUGUGGGGAAGGACAACUCGAGUGGCCUCCUGUGCAGUGGACCCAAAGUGCUUACCUGCAUGUGCCAGGACUUGUCAGGACACAACCGUGUUCGGAGGGACCAGAGCAGGUGGAGAGAUCAAUAACCAGACGUUCAUCACCUCCCAUGGAUUAUCAGUAGGAGUAUUGGCCUCAGACUCAACUCUUCUGAGAUUGAUGCCAAUUUUGCUCUCAGGACAUUAG